rnacentral:misc_RNA from 1 species
ACAACCAUUUCGAAUCCUCCUUUUCGGUUCUCGAGAGGAUUGGGGGGAAUCGGUAUUGGUGGUGGAGGAAUGAGUUGCUGAGCUCCCCCGCUAUGCUUGGCAAAUCUCCUCCCCACUGAAAUUUAUAGGCGGUCUGUAUUCUGACCCACGUGUUUAAUUGCGCUUCAAAGGACGCUCCUUCUUCAUUGAGGGGCCGCUUUUCGCUUGUAACCGUUUGGGUCCGCGUGACCGGCCAUUUCCGUAUCUUAUAUAUACAUUUUGCAAA